ensembl:lncRNA
GGAGGAGGCAGCAGAGACUCUGCUCUCCUCGUUUGGAUUAAUUCUGAUAUAAUAACUGUUGGUUUAUUUAUCGGUGGAGCAGCACAACAUUUUCCACAGACAGUUUUCCUGCCUGUUGGCUUGUUUAACCAGUUUUCUACCUUCGGCUGAUUCUACCAGCAGACACUGAAAGGACUCUGAUAGUUCGAAUGAAAGCAGCAAUUCCUCCUUAAGGUCAGAGAUUGCAGCAUCUGAGGGCCUCUUCAAAAGAAGACGUAGUUGAUGAAGGCGUUCUGGAGCAGGACCAGAAAGACCACGACCAAGCAGCCUUGAGAUCUUAGGCAGCGUCUCCCUCGGGUCCCUCUCUAUCUCCCCACACAUCCACCAACCACUGGAACACAUCUCCAAAGUUCUGCCGGGCCAGCUCAGCUUCCCCUCAGAAGAAGUUCCGCCACCUGCCAGAUGAAGGAGCCUUUUGAGAGGCAGCUGGCAUCAUGAUUGGACUGUACUUUGGUCUGUUCCAAUCCAGCUUCAG